rnacentral:rRNA from 1 species
UAAGCGGAGGAAAAGAAACUAACAAGGAUUCCCCUAGUAGCGGCGAGCGAAGCGGGAAAAGCUCAAAUUUGUAAUCUGGCGUCUUCGACGUCCGAGUUGUAAUCUCGAGAAGUGUUUUCCGUGAUAGACCGCAUACAAGUCUCUUGGAACAGAGCGUCAUAGUGGUGAGAACCCAGUACACGAUGCGGAUGCCUAUUACUUUGUGAUACACUUUCGAAGAGUCGAGUUGUUUGGGAAUGCAGCUCAAAUUGGGUGGUAAAUUCCAUCUAAAGCUAAAUAUUGGCGAGAGACCGAUAGCGAACAAGUACCGUGAGGGAAAGAUGAAAAGCACUUUGGAAAGAGAGUUAACAGUACGUGAAAUUGUUGGAAGGGAAACACAUGCAGUGAUACUUGCUAUUCGGGGCAACUCGAUUGGCAGGCCCGCAUCAGUUUUUCGGGGCGGAAAAGCAUAGAGAGAAGGUAGCAGUUUCGGCUGUGUUAUAGCUCUUUAUUGGAUUCGCCCUGGGGGACUGAGGAACGCAGCGUGCUUUUUGCAUGAGCUUCGGCUUAUCCACGCUUAGGAUGCGGGUUUAUGGCUGUAUAUGACCCGUCUUGAAACACGGACCAAGGAGUCUAACAUGCUUGCGAGUAUUUGGGUGUCAAACCCGGAUGCGCAAUGAAAGUGAAUGGAGGUGGGAAGCGCAAGCUGCACCAUCGACCGAUCUGGAUUUUUUAAGAUGGAUUUGAGUAAGAGCAAGUAUGUUGGGACCCGAAAGAUGGUGAACUAUGCCUGAAUAGGGCGAAGCCAGAGGAAACUCUGGUGGAGGCUCGUAGCGGUUCUGACGUGCAAAUCGAUCGUCAAAUUUGGGUAUAGGGGCGAAAGACUAAUCGAACCAUCUAGUAGCUGGUUCCUGCCGAAGUUUCCCUCAGGAUAGCAGAAACUCACAUCAGUUCUAUGAGGUAAAGCGAAUGAUUAGAGGCCUUGGGGUUGAAACAACCUUAACCUAUUCUCAAACUUUAAAUA